rfam:Eubacterium sp. CAG:161 genomic scaffold, scf100
AGGAGGAGGAAACUAAAUGAACGAAGUUCAUUUAUAGGAAUGUUUCCGACGAAUUGCCGCUGACCGAAGGGAGGGGGCGUUACAUUAU